UACGUAGGGUGCAGGCGUUAAUCGGAAUUACUGGGCGUAAAGCGUGCGCAGGCGGUUUUGUAAGUCUGACGUGAAAUCCCCGGGCUUAACCUGGGAAUUGCGUUGGAGACUGCAAGGCUAGAAUCUGGCAGAGGGGGGUAGAAUUCCACGUGUAGCAGUGAAAUGCGUAGAGAUGUGGAGGAACACCGAUGGCGAAGGCAGCCCCCUGGGUCAAGAUUGACGCUCAUGCACGAAAGCGUGGGGAGCAAACAGG
rnacentral:rRNA from 1 species